UACGGGGGGGGCAAGCGUUGUUCGGAAUUACUGGGCGUAAAGGCUCGUAGGCGGCCAACUAAGUCAGACGUGAAAUCCCUCGGCUUAACCGGGGAACUGCGUCUGAUACUGGAUGGCUUGAGUUUGGGAGAGGGAUGCGGAAUUCCAGGUGUAGCGGUGAAAUGCGUAGAUAUCUGGAGGAACACCGGUGGCGAAGGCGGCAUCCUGGACCAACACUGACGCUGAGUGAGCGAAAGCCAGGGGAGCAAAACGGG
rnacentral:rRNA from 1 species